AUCGCUUUUCGGCCUUUUGGCUAAGAUCAAGUGUAGUAUCAUAGAAGACCUCAUAGCCAUCUUAAUUUUUGUAAACUCACCCUAAUGCUCACAUAGCAGUGAAAUCCCAUAAGAGCUUAUUUAUUAGAACUUAUUUAUAUUAUUACAUAUCUGUUGUGCAUGGACAGAUAUGUAAGAUUUAGAUAGAUCUCACUAUCAUAUCCUCUAAUCACAUGGCA
rnacentral:snRNA from 1 species